GACGAACGCUGGCGGCGUGCUUAACACAUGCAAGGCGAACGAGGCUUGGUUACGGAUUCUGCGGAUGAAGUAUGAUAUGACUGAGUGGCGGACGGGUGAGUAACGCGUGAGUAACCUGCCCUUCAGAGGGGGAUAGCGUUUGGAAACGAACGGUAAUACCGCAUAAUGUAUUUUGACCGCAUGAUCGAAAUACCAAAGAUUUAUCGCUGAAGGAUGGACUCGCGUCUGAUUAGGUAGUUGGUGGGGUAACGGCCUACCAAGCCGACGAUCAGUAGCCGGACUGAGAGGUUGAUCGGCCACAUUGGGACUGAGACACGGCCCAGACUCCUACGGGAGGCAGCAGUGGGGAAUAUUGCACAAUGGGCGCAAGCCUGAUGCAGCAACGCCGCGUGAAGGAAGACGGUUUUCGGAUUGUAAACUUCUGUUCUUAGUGCACUAUACUGACGGUACCUAAUGCGGAAGCCACGUCUAACUCCGUG
rnacentral:rRNA from 1 species